CUGCUUCCCAGAGAGAGAAAACCCUGGUUUCUCCUCACUUGGAUUUUCUGUGUCAUAUUCAGUGAACAGAAUUACUCCUGUAGUGGAUUAGCAUGAGGGAAGUAGACAAAAGCUCCCCAUUUCCUAGCACCUGCCUUGCUGCAGGAACACGUCUCUGUGCCUCUUCUUGCUGUCAGGAAGUGACUACAUCUGUGCUGGUCAGGCAGGGACAGCAGGCUGAAAGUUCUUUGAGUUGGCUUUAUUUGUUUGUUUAAAAAUUAACAAGUGUUUAGCAAGCAUUAGUGAUUGUUUCCAGUGAGUUUGCUUUCAAACUUGGCCUCGUGUCAUGGGAAAGGCUGGGGUUAGGUGCUGUUGGACACUGGAAGGUGCCAUGGCCCAAUGGCACCUAAACUAGAGAACCUUCUGUCCUCUGAAUUCUUUCCUCCGUGAAUGAAGGCAAAUGUUGCAUUGCACCAGGGCAGAACAGCAUUUCCCCAGCCUUCCUUGUCUAGUAGCUGUUGCCACUUUUCCUUGGCUUUAAGCCAGGCUGGCUCAGCAAACCCUUGGGUCAGACUCCUGGUUUCUGUCCUCUGGCAGUUUCCUUUUCCCGCUGGCGCUGCCCGGCUGGAGCGGGGCGAGCGCUCCUGGACCCGCAGCACCCGGGCCGGCCCUGCCAAAGGCUCCAGGCAGUUUGGGGGAGCUCAGCAGCUUGCUUUGCAUGGCUCGUGCCAGGUUUCAGUUGCUCUAAUGCCCGAGUUUCACACUUAAACCUGAUGAAGAUCACAUCUGAAGGUGUUCUGGCGUUCCAGCAGUAACUCCCGGAUGGCACUUUGUGUUUUGAACUUACCAAGUGUCUUCACCCUCCUCUCAAAGCAGCAGCUUUAUAAAAGCAGAUGAACCCAGCUGGCAGAAGUGAGAUGGUUUGGGGCAUCUCACAAACAUACACCAGUUCCUCACUGGAGCCACAUUACAGCAGUGCCCCAAACAAUCCUCAGAGUGCUCCCACUGGUGGGGCUCUGCCAGGACCAAGGGCUGGCGGCCUGGCUCACAUGCAGAGCAAGAAGCAGUUUUCACUCCUCCUGCUUCCAGAAAGGUGAGGAGAUUUGGACCAGUUUGGGACAAGCUGAUCCUCAUUUGGAGAUGAUUUUGGGUGCCACCUUCAUGUGACGAUUCUCAAGAGUAUCCUUGAGAUACCAUUUAUCCAGAAGAUUUGCUGUGCCUGGUAACUUUAGGGAUGCAUGUUUCUUGCCUCGUCUUACUAUGAUCCUGGUGAGCCAUCUGGAAAUUUCAUCCUAUGAUUACUCCAGGAUCUGGAAGACCUUUUGUAACUACUAAUCCCAGAAACAGAUUUUUCCUUCAUCCUGUCUGUCAACACAGCCUUUAACUUAUUUUUAUGGGCUUCAGCACAUGUUUGAAGCAUCACUGCCUUAGGAUACAAUUUAUUUUUUCCAGAGUAUCUCAGUACUCCUUAUGUCUACUUAUAGCACUUUCUGAGGAACAGCUGUUUCAUGGGUGUAUUUAUUAGGAUCCUCUGUGUCCCUCAAAACUUGACACAUCUCUAUUUGCACACCUAGAACAGGAAUCAGUGUGACUUAGCAUGCCAUGAGCAUGAGAUCCUAGGAAAUUAUGCUUUGCGGUGCCACGUAUUCUGCUGCAAAAAAAAAAAUGAGUAAUGUUUUUAUUGGUAAGACGUGAUAAAUAUUUCAUUAAAAAAUACCGAUGCAAUUAAAGCAAGGGGGGUAAAGCAAAGAGACAAAUCUAAGAUAACUGGUGCCAUGCUAGGUUCUUGAUAUUUAUCUUUUUAUUGUGUCUUGCCCUUUAGCUCUUGUUCACCCACCAAAAUAACUUGUGGAUGAAGUUUGCCGUAUGUGUCUUUAACUGCUCUGUGGAGGGAGUGGGAUAUGGCAGGCAGGAAAAGCAGUUUAAUAGAGUGCCAUCAGUGCUGGGGAGUUUGGGAAGGCCUGUGUUGUCAUCUUGCCUGGAACCAUGGCCCUGUGUUCCUGCUGGAACAGAAGGCGCAGGCAGAGGUGCAGGGAAGCUGCCUGGAGGAGCCUGCAGGACACUUUCCCGUGGCUGGAGCAGAGGGGAAGCAGGACAAGCAGGAGGAGGCUGUGUGUGUGCACAGCCCAGGGAGGGGCUCGCUGCAGCUGCCCAGGUUUGUUGUGUGCUCUGGGUAGAGUGGAGCACACACUGCUGCACUUGCAGAGCUUUGUGUAAAGCCACCCUCUGCACGUCAGCAGCGAUGCAGGGAGAGCUGCCUCCUUUUUCUCUCUUGGGAAGGAAGAAUUCUCAAAAAAUGGUUUUACAUUUCUUGGGAACAACAGAAAAGCUUGACCUAAUUGCUGUUCUAAAUGUAUGCCCAUGGCUUCUGAAAGGCCCAGCAGGAUAUAAAACCACCAGUUACCAGUUCUGAUUUUUGCCAGAACUUCAAAGUGUUUCCUUUUAAGUAAUCUUAAAACUAGUCCAAGAAAACACUCACACCAUUACUUAGAUAUUCCAGUUGUGCCACCAAUAUGGAAACUUAAAUUAUUAUAUUUCCCACAGGCAAAGCUUCCAUCGUUAGUUAAACUUGAUGGUCUUCUGCUUGCUUGUAGGGAAGAUACAACCUCCUUUCCAUGGUCUGAAAAAUGGUUGCAGCUCAAAGCGGAGCCAAGAGUGAUGAUUGAUGGACUAAAAAAUAGGACCUUAAUAUAGUAACCAAAGUGCUAUUUAGACUUUAAAUGGUUUUUAAUCAUAGUCAUAUCCUUCUCUGGAAAAGAAGCUUCACAUGCACCAGCCAGUACUCAUUUAAUAAACAUUUUGUUAUUUUACUGUUUGAGAUUACAGUUCCCAUCUUUAUCACUUGUGCAUCAUGCCCAAACUUUAUCAGUAGAGAUAAAAGCUUGUGUACCUCCAGUGAUUAAGAGCAAAAUUAGUCAGGUAGGACCCAGUUCUAUCCCCUCAGUCUUAGUUCUUGAAAGCUUUGUAAGCUGUGGGUCACCUGCCUGUGCCAGUGUGAUCUGGCAAUGUGUUUAUUUUGUGAGCGAGGUCACUGCACAGGAUUCAUUCAUGUGUGCUCAACAAGCCAUGGCUGCUCUGCUCCAGAGAUUAUAACUAAAUAAUAUCAAUGAAUUAUGAAAGUGAAAGGGACGUGGGGUUUUUUUGGUCAGGUUGUAUUAGGACUUUGUUGGUAAGUGCAGUUAUGUGGGCAGAGUCUGGGGUAUUUAUUUUUUCUACUGGAGUGACCUCAGAGUAGCACUUGACCUUUUAGUGAAGCCAAGGUAGGUUUGUCCCUUGGCCACUGGGCCCAGGAGAGACCCAGGAGAUGCACCAGGUCCUGGUCAGGAGGAAGUUCUGGAAUGCCAAACAGCCACCAGGGCCAGCAGAGUCCCAUCACACUCAAAGUGUUUCAAUGACUACAGGAUGUGUGGUCAGAAAUGAAGAGGUUGUUCAAGAAUCAUUUAGAUGUAGAGAAAUCCUCCUGCUUAAGGAAAUAUCCUGCUGAGUUUCUCCUGGAAAAUAGUUUGAUGUGUAAAGUUGUAUCUUUUCCAGAUUAUGAGAUAUGGGAUUUAAGAGAGAAGUGUCUAAUUCUCCAAACUUAGAAAGCAUGUGGGCCUCAAACUCUUUUCCCAGUUGGAAAAUUUGCUGUUAAGAAAAGGAAAUAGAUUUUUAUAAGCAACAUUUUAUUCAAGCAUUUGGCUAAUUCUCCUGCUGCAAAGCUUUUAGGUCAAAUUCUGAUUCAUUGAUGUGGAUCUGGAAUAAAAGGGAUUAGGAGAGGAACUGGACUCUGAAGUUAGGAAAACUUUGGUUUCUUGUUCACUUUUUCCUACUCAUCAAAUGUAUUUUUAACCUAUGUUUCUAUUUUAAGUGUUGUAGGGAAACUUACUCCUACGUGUCUGCCUUUGCUCUUUUUCUGCCCAUUGUCAUCAGCUCUGCCAUGGGUGUGUUCCAUUUUACUGCUGCAGAAAGAGAUCCUGAGCAUUCUGGACAUGACAUUGUUGUACAAAUGCUGGGAAUUUCUACAUUUAUUCCAUUAGGUUAGAGAAUGGAAAAUGGGUGGUUUAUUAUUCUUAUUACUCAUUAAAAGUAUGUGUUAAAACAGUGCCCUGUUUCACAAUGUGGUGUUCUGCAGUAGCCCAGGGCCCGAGGGAAGCCGUGUCCAGUACUUUCCUUUUGUUUCUACACGUGUAUGCGUUCACAGGAGUGCGUGUUGUGUUCAGGAUUCCUGCAGGGAUCCCUUUGGGGAUCCAUCUGAAAGCUUUUCAUCUGGCAUUAAGGUCAUUCUCCCUCUGUCUGUCCUUGCCAUUUCUCUGUUGUGUGUGUGACCCUCAGCUCCUGUUGUCCACGAUCCCACUCUCUCUCAGCUUCCAAAACCUUCCCAUUUCCCAUAGUGAGUACUCUCUUUCCUACGUCUCAGAGACCUGGCAGCCAUCAAUCCAAUGUCAUUUGCAGUAUCCUGUAACACCAGUGGUGAGUGCUUUCUGUUUUCUGUAUUCAUAAAGCAGCUGCAAUGAGUCUGUUGGAGGAGCCAGGUCUGCAUCCCACCCUGGCUCUGGUACUGUGGAGUUGUGAUGGAUGUACUGCUUUCAUAAGUGCAGCAAACAGCAUUGCCAAACUCAGUGGUUUAUCUGGGGCCAUCCAUGUGCUCUGGAAAAAUAGCUUAUCCUGGGAGAAAAGAAUGAUGGGGGGGUUUCCCUCAGUUUCCAGUAAUUACUUUCAGAGUAAUUAUGUUGCUCAAAAGAAAGAGCGGCUGCUUGUCUUGUGAGAAAAAGAAGAUAAGAAUAAGGAGGUUAAAUGUGACAACUCUUUGGGAUACCAGCCCUGCCAGUGCUCCAGAGAGAGGAGAGCACAGUGGUGAUGAGUCAAAUUCACCCUGGGGCCAGGAAUUAGUCAGGUGGGAGAUUCCCACUAGAUUUCGGGUGUCCUGGGAGGUCUCCUGGAACAGGGAGAAAAGAAGGGGCUUGGCAGAGGACCGUAUCACUUUUCUCCCGGUUUUCACCAUGUAAUUCAUGCUUUGCUCUGUAAAGCACUGUGAUAUAGUUUGUAUACAUUAUGUAAAAUAAGUUGUAUUCUAUUAUAUUGAAGAAAUACAAAUAUAAAAUAAAGAUAAAGGAUGGAGUAAA